CUCGUAGUUGGAUUUGUGGCUUGUUGCAUGGUCCCAGCUUUUGUUGGGUGCUGUUGCGAGGAGCCAUCCUUGGGUGGAAUCUGUGUGGCAUUAGGUUGUCGCGCAGGGGAUGCCCAUCGUUUACUGUGAAAAAAUUAGAGUGUUCAAAGCAGGCUUAUGCCGUUGAAUAUAUUAGCAUGGAAUAAUGAGAUAGGACCUUGGUACUAUUUUGUUGGUUUGCGCACCGAGGUAAUGAUUAAUAGGGACAGUUGGGGGUAUUCGUAUUCCAUUGUCAGAGGUGAAAUUCUUGGAUUUUUGGAAGACGAACUACUGCGAAAGCAUUUACCAAGGAUGUUUUCAUUAAUCAAGAACGAAAGUUAGGGGAUCGAAGAUGAUUAGAUACNNNNGNUAGUCANA
rnacentral:rRNA from 1 species